AGCGAACGUUUGCGGCGGGCUUAACACAUGCAAGUCGAACGAGAAUCCCUUCGGGGAGGAAAGUGGCGCACGGGUGCGUAACACGUGGAUAACCAACCCAUUGGUUUGGGACAACACCGGGAAACUGGUGCUAAUACCAGAUGUGUCGCAGCUGUCUUCAGGCGGUUGCGAGAAAGGCCCGCAAGGGUCGCCAACGGACGGGUCCGCGUCCCAUCAGCUAGUUGGUGAGGUAAUGGCUCACCAAGGCAAAGACGGGUAGCUGGUCUGAGAGGAUGAUCAGCCACACUGGAACUGAGACACGGUCCAGACUCCUACGGGAGGCAGCAGUGGGGAAUAUUGCGCAAUGGGCGAAAGCCUGACGCAGCCACGCCGCGUGAGCGAUGAAGGUCUUCGGAUCGUAAAGCUCUGUGGGGGGAGAAGAAGAAAGCCGGUGAAGAGCCGGCCCUGACGGUAUCCCCUUAGCAAGCACCGGCUAACUCCGUGCCAGCAGCCGCGGUAA
rnacentral:rRNA from 1 species